AGAUUAAGCAAAGAAGAGCGCAGGGUGGAUGCCUUGGCACUAAGAGCCGAAGAAAGACGUGAUAAGCUGCGAAAAGCUGCGGGGAGAUGCAAAUAAUCCUUGAUCCGCAGAUGUCUGAAUGGGGAAACCCGGUACGAAGAACUCGUAUCAUCCAUACGCCAAUCCAUAACGUAUGGAGGGGAACCCGGUGAACUGAAACAUCUAAGUAGCCGGAGGAAGAGAAAGAAACAUCGAUUUUGUUAGUAGCGGCGAGCGAAAGCGAAAGAGGCCAAACCGGAGUGCGUGCACUCCGGGGUUCGGACCGCAUUUAAGAUUCAGUAAUCCUAGCAGAAAGGUUUGGGAAAGCCUGCCGGAGAGGGUGAAAGCCCCGUAAGCGAAAGGAGAGCUGACUGAGCGGGAUCCAGAGUACAUCGAGACACGAGAAACCUUGAUGGAAUGAGCGGGGACCACCCCGUAAGCCUAAAUACUACUUAGUGACCGAUAGCGCAUAGUACUGUGAAGGAAAGGUGAAAAGGACCCCGGGAGGGGAGUGAAAGAGAACCUGAAACCCUGUGUUUACAAGCUGUGGAAGUUCUUUAAAUGAACAACCGCGUACUUUUUGUAGAACGGUCCGGCGAGUUGCGGAUACUGGCAAGGUUAAGCACUUAAGGUGCGGAGCCGAAGGGAUACCAAGUCUUAACAGGGCGUUAAGUCAGUAUACGCAGACCCGAAACCGGGUGAUCUAUCCAUGUCCAGGUUGAAGUUGUCGUAAAAGACAAUGGAGGACCGAAGCCACAUCCGUUGAAAAGGGUGGGCAUGAGGUGUGGAUAGGGGAGAAAUUCCAAUCGAACCCGGAGAUAGCUGGUUCUCCUCGAAAUAGCUUUAGGGCUAGCCUCGAUUUAGUCUUAUGGAGGUAGAGCACUGAAUUUCCGCGGGGGCGUCAAAGCUUACCAAAGAAUAUCAAACUCCGAAUGCCAUGUAGAUGAUGAUCGGGAGUCAGACUGCACGAGAUAAGUUGGGCAGUCAAAAGGGAAAGAGCCCAGACCACCGGCUAAGGUCCCAAAGUGCGUGUUAAGUGGAAAAGGAUGUGGGAAUUCGAAGACAACUAGGAUGUUGGCUCAGAAGCAGCCAUACAUUCAAAGAGUGCGUAACAGCUCACUAGUCGAGAGUUCCUGCGCCGAAAAUGUCCGGGGCUGAAACACGACACCGAAGCCGUGGACUCGCAAUGCGAGUGGUAGAGGAGCAUUCUUAAAACCGACGAAGCUGUACCGAAAGGAGCAGUGGAGGGAUAAGAAGAGAGAAUGCCGGAAUGAGUAGCGAGAGAAAGGUGGGAAUCCUUUCGGCCGAAUAUCUAAGGUUUCCAGAGUAAAGCUGAUCUGCUCUGGGUAAGUCGGGGCCUAAGCACAGGUCGCAAGACGUAAGCGAUGGAUAACAGGUUUAGAUUCCUGUACCACGCAUUAUCAGAACUGUAGGGACGCAUGUGGAAAGCACGAGCCGGGAAUGGAAAGACCGGUACAAGCGGGGUAGGUGUACAAUAGGCAAAUCCGUUGUAUAAUCCGAAGACGUGAUGUGGAGCGAAAUAAAGUAGUGAAGCGUGUGAGCCAUGUGCCGAGAAAAGCUGCUAUUGUGUAAUGCGUGCCCGUACCGUAAACCGACACAGGUGGAUGAGGAGAGAAUCCUAAGGCCGACGGAAGAAGCAUUGUUAAGGAAUUCGGCAAAAUGACCCCGUAACUUCGGGAGAAGGGGUGCCUGCGAGAGCAGGCCGCAGAGAAUAGGCUCAAGCAACUGUUUAGCAAAAACACAGGUCUAUGCGAAACCGAAAGGUGAAGUAUAUGCUGACGCCUGCCCGGUGCUGGAAGGUUAAGAGGAGAGGUUAGCUUCGGCGAAGCUUUGAAUUUAAGCCCCAGUAAACGGCGGCCGUAACUAUAACGGUCCUAAGGUAGCGAAAUUCCUUGUCGGGUAAGUUCCGACCCGCACGAAAGGCGUAAUGAUUUGAGCACUGUCUCGACAAUGCAUCCGGUGAAAUUGAAGUACCAGUGAAGAUGCUGGUUACCCGCGCCAGGACGGAAAGACCCCAUGGAGCUUUACUCCAGUUUGAUACUGGGAUUCGGUACUGCAUGUACAGGAUAGGUGGGAGACGAAGAAGGAUGGACGCCAGUCUGUCCGGAGUCGCUGUUGGGAUACCACCC
rnacentral:rRNA from 1 species